rnacentral:rRNA from 1 species
UGAAUACGUUCCCGGGUCUUGUACACACCGCCCGUCACACCACGAGAGUUUGUAACACCCGAAGCCGGUGGAGUAACCUUUUAGGAGCUAGCCGUCGAAGGUGGGACAAAUGAUUGGGGUGAAGUCGUAACAAGGUAGCCGUAUCGGAAGGUGCGGCUGGAUCACCUCCUUUCUAAGGA